UGAUAGAUUCCUGUCGUGCUUGCUGU
rnacentral:piRNA from 1 species